CCUACGGGAGGCAGCAGUGGGGAAUAUUGGGCAAUGGAGGAAACUCUGACCCAGCGACGCCGCGUGCGGGAUGAAGGCCUUCGGGUUGUAAACCGCUUUCAGUAGGGAAGAAGCGAAAGUGACGGUACCUACAGAAGAAGCACCGGCUAACUAUGUGCCAGCAGCCGCGGUAAUACAUAGGGUGCAGGCGUUGUCCGGAAUUAUUGGGCGUAAAGAGCUCGUAGGUGGUUCGUCACGUCGGAUGUGAAAAUCUGGGGCUCAACCCCAGACCUGCAUUCGAUACGGGCGAUCUAGAGUGUGGUAGGGGAGACUGGAAUUCCUGGUGUAGCGGUGGAAUGCGCAGAUAUCAGGAGGAACACCAAUGGCGAAGGCAGGUCUCUGGGCCAUUACUGACACUGAGGAGCGAAAGCGUGGGGAGCGAACAGGAUUAGAUACCCUGGUAGUCCACGCCGUAAACGGUGGGCACUAGUUGUGGGAACCUUCCACGGUUUCUGCGACGCAGCUAACGCAUUAAGUGCCCCGCCUGGGGAGGUACGANCGCAGAUAAACUACAAUAGAUAGACGGCGUGAGACGUGCCGAGACGACGACGAGGGAGUAGG
rnacentral:rRNA from 1 species